rnacentral:rRNA from 1 species
CGAAGCAACGCGAAGAACCUUACCAGGCCUUGACAUGCAGAGAACUUUCCAGAGAUGGAUUGGUGCCCUCGGGAACUCUGACACAGGUGCUGCAUGGCUGUCGUCAGGCUCGUGUCGUGAGAUGUUGGGUUAAGUCCCGUAACGAGCGCAACCCUUGUCCUUAGUUACCAGCACGUUAUGGUGGGCACUCUAAGGAGACUGCCGGUGCAAACCGGAGGAAGGUGGGGAUGACGUCAAGUCAUCAUGGCCCUUACGGCCUGGGCUACACACGUGCUACAAUGGUCGGUACAAAGGGUUGCCAAGCCGCGAGGUGGAGCUAAUCCCAUAAAACCGAUCGUAGUCCGGACCGCAGUCUGCAACUCGACUGCGUGAAGUCGGAAUCGCUAGUAAUCGUGAAUCAGAAUGUCACGGUGAAUACGUUCCCGGGCCUU